rnacentral:misc_RNA from 1 species
GAAGGUGGUGCGCCAACUAUUUAUAGAGGCAGCCAACCACGGUAGGUUCAGUGACUGGGGUGAAGUCGUAACAAGGUAGCCGUAGGGGAACCUGCGGCUGGAUCACCUCCUUUCUAAGGAUGAUCUUAGCUGAAAGUUUACUUUCACGUAGAUCACUUUUUAGCAGCUCUUAAAUGAGCUUUAGUAGUCUUCGGACUACAUCAUAGACCGAACCGUCCUCAUAUCUCUUCAGUAAUAAUAAUUUUGCAGGUCAUCGAUCUGUUAAGGGUCGGUAGCUCAGGUGGUUAGAGCGCACGCCUGAUAAGCGUGAGGUCGGAGGUUCAAGUCCUCCUCGACCCACCAUAAAAUGGGGCGUUAGCUCAGCUGGGAGAGCACCUGCUUUGCAAGCAGGGGGUCAUCGGUUCGAUCCCGAUACGCUCCACCAUUUCCUUCAGAUUAUUAUAUCAAUUCCGAUUAGAUCAUUAAGGACUGUAAGCAGUUUUUAAUCAUCCAAUCGGAUGGCGAACCUUCGGGUUCACUUUUACAUCGUUUAGAGAGCAUAUAAAACACGAGACGUAAGUUUCUUGUUUGGACCACUUCUUCGGAAAAGGUUAGGAAAUGAAUAUUUUGAGGCUGAAGAGCUUUGAGAGACUAGAUUGUUAGCUGGUUCGCAGUAUCAUAGGUAACUAUGAAGCAUAAUCAGACU